GUUGUAUAGUCAAGUAAUUAAGUGCAUGUGGUGGAUGCCUUGGCAGUCAGAGGCGAUGAAAGACGUGAUAGCCUGCGAAAAGCUCCGGGGAGGCGGCAAAUAUCCUUUGAUCCGGAGAUGUCUGAAUGGGGGAACCCACCUACUUUAAGGUAGGUAUUGCAACAUGAAUACAUAGUGUUGCAAGGCGAACGAGGGGAAGUGAAACAUCUCAGUACCCUUAGGAAAAGAAAUCAAUUGAGAUUCCCUCAGUAGCGGCGAGCGAACGGGGAUCAGCCCAUUAAGUUAUGUGUGUUUUAGUGGAACGCUCUGGGAAGUGCGAACGUAGAGGGUGAUAUUCCCGUACACGAAAGGGCACACAUAAUGAUGACGAGUAGGGCGAGGCACGUGAAACCUUGUCUGAAUAUGGGGGGACCAUCCUCCAAGGCUAAAUACUCCUGACU
rnacentral:rRNA from 1 species